AUACGGAGGGUGCGAGCGUUAAGCGGAAUUACUGGGCGUAAAGCGUACGUAGGCGGUUGGUUAAGUUAGAUGUGAAAGCCCCGGGCUUAACCUGGGAACUGCAUUUAAAACUGGCGAACUAGAGUUGAGUAGAGGGGAGUGGAAUUUCAGGUGUAGCGGUGAAAUGCGUAGAGAUCUGAAGGAACACCAGUGGCGAAGGCGACUCCCUGGACUCGAACUGACGCUGAGGUACGAAAGCGUGGGUAGCAAACGGGAUUAGAAACCCUUGUAGUCC
rnacentral:rRNA from 1 species